GGGUUGUGAGGUUAAGCGACUAAGCGUACACGGUGGAUGCCCUGGCAGUCAGAGGCGAUGAAGGACGUGCUAAUCUGCGAAAAGCGCCGGCGAGGUGAUAUGAACCCUUGACCCGGCGAUGUCCGAAUGGGGAAACCCAGUGUGAUUCGUCACACUAUCGUUAACUGAAUACAUAGGUUAACGAGGCGAACCGGGGGAACUGAAACAUCUAAGUACCCCGAGGAAAAGAAAUCAACCGAGAUUCCCCCAGUAGCGGCGAGCGAACGGGGAGCAGCCCAGAGUCUGAAUCAGCUUGUGUGUUAGUGGAAGCGUCUGGAAAGUCGCACGGUACAGGGUGACAGUCCCGUACACGAAAAUGCACAGGUUGUGAACUCGAAGAGUAGGGCGGGACACGUGGUAUCCUGUCUGAAUAUGGGGGGACCAUCCUCCAAGGCUAAAUACUCCUGACUGACCGAUAGUGAACCAGUACCGUGAGGGAAAGGCGAAAAGAACCCCGGCGAGGGGAGUGAAAAAGAACCUGAAACCGUGUACGUACAAGCAGUGGGAGCACCUUCGGGUGUGACUGCGUACCUUUUGUAUAAUGGGUCAGCGACUUAUAUUCUGUAGCAAGGUUAACCGUAUAGGGGAGCCGAAGGGAAACCGAGUCUUAACUGGGCGUUAAGUUGCAGGGUAUAGACCCGAAACCCGGUGAUCUAGCCAUGGGCAGGUUGAAGGUUGGGUAACACUAACUGGAGGACCGAACCGACUAAUGUUGAAAAAUUAGCGGAUGACUUGUGGCUGGGGGUGAAAGGCCAAUCAAACCGGGAGAUAGCUGGUUCUCCCCGAAAGCUAUUUAGGUAGCGCCUCGUGAACUCAUCUUCGGGGGUAGAGCACUGUUUCGGCUAGGGGGCCAUCCCGGCUUACCAACCCGAUGCAAACUACGAAUACCGAAGAAUGUUAUCACGGGAGACACACGGCGGGUGCUAACGUCCGUCGUGAAGAGGGAAACAACCCAGACCGCCAGCUAAGGUCCCAAAGUCAUGGUUAAGUGGGAAACGAUGUGGGAAGGCCCAGACAGCCAGGAUGUUGGCUUAGAAGCAGCCAUCAUUUAAAGAAAGCGUAAUAGCUCACUGGUCGAGUCGGCCUGCGCGGAAGAUGUAACGGGGCUAAACCAUGCACCGAAGCUGCGGCAGCGACACUUAUGUGUUGUUGGGUAGGGGAGCGUUCUGUAAGCCGUUGAAGGUGGCCUGUGAGGGUUGCUGGAGGUAUCAGAAGUGCGAAUGCUGACAUAAGUAACGAUAAAGCGGGUGAAAAGCCCGCUCGCCGGAAGACCAAGGGUUCCUGUCCAACGUUAAUCGGGGCAGGGUGAGUCGACCCCUAAGGCGAGGCCGAAAGGCGUAGUCGAUGGGAAACAGGUUAAUAUUCCUGUACUUGGUGUUACUGCGAAGGGGGGACGGAGAAGGCUAUGUUAGCCGGGCGACGGUUGUCCCGGUUUAAGCAUGUAGGCGGAGGUUCCAGGUAAAUCCGGUACCUUUUUAACGCUGAGGUGUGAUGACGAGGCACUACGGUGCUGAAGUAACAAAUGCCCUGCUUCCAGGAAAAGCCUCUAAGCAUCAGGUAACACGAAAUCGUACCCCAAACCGACACAGGUGGUCAGGUAGAGAAUACCAAGGCGCUUGAGAGAACUCGGGUGAAGGAACUAGGCAAAAUGGUGCCGUAACUUCGGGAGAAGGCACGCUGAUAUGUAGGUGAAGCCCCUGCGGGUGGAGCUGAAAUCAGUCGAAGAUACCAGCUGGCUGCAACUGUUUAUUAAAAACACAGCACUGUGCAAACACGAAAGUGGACGUAUACGGUGUGACGCCUGCCCGGUGCCGGAAGGUUAAUUGAUGGGGUUAGCGGUAACGCGAAGCUCUUGAUCGAAGCCCCGGUAAACGGCGGCCGUAACUAUAACGGUCCUAAGGUAGCGAAAUUCCUUGUCGGGUAAGUUCCGACCUGCACGAAUGGCGUAAUGAUGGCCAGGCUGUCUCCACCCGAGACUCAGUGAAAUUGAACUCGCUGUGAAGAUGCAGUGUACCCGCGGCAAGACGGAAAGACCCCGUGAACCUUUACUAUAGCUUGACACUGAACACUGGUCCUUGAUGUGUAGGAUAGGUGGGAGGCUUUGAAGCGUGGACGCCAGUCUGCGUGGAGCCAACCUUGAAAUACCACCCUUUAAUGGCUGGUGUUCUAACGUAGACCCGUGAUCCGGGUUGAGGACAGUGUCUGGUGGGUAGUUUGACUGGGGCGGUCUCCUCCCAAAGAGUAACGGAGGAGCACGAAGGUUAGCUAAUCCUGGUCGGACAUCAGGAGGUUAGUGCAAUGGCAUAAGCUAGCUUGACUGCGAGAGUGACGGCUCGAGCAGGUGCGAAAGCAGGUCAUAGUGAUCCGGUGGUUCUGAAUGGAAGGGCCAUCGCUCAACGGAUAAAAGGUACUCCGGGGAUAACAGGCUGAUACCGCCCAAGAGUUCAUAUCGACGGCGGUGUUUGGCACCUCGAUGUCGGCUCAUCACAUCCUGGGGCUGAAGUAGGUCCCAAGGGUAUGGCUGUUCGCCAUUUAAAGUGGUACGCGAGCUGGGUUUAGAACGUCGUGAGACAGUUCGGUCCCUAUCUGCCGUGGGCGCUGGAGAAUUGAGGGGGGCUGCUCCUAGUACGAGAGGACCGGAGUGGACGCAUCACUGGUGUUCGGGUUGUCAUGCCAAUGGCACUGCCCGGUAGCUAAAUGCGGAAGAGAUAAGUGCUGAAAGCAUCUAAGCACGAAACUUGCCCCGAGAUGAGUUCUCCCUGAGACUUAAAGUCUCCUGAAGGAACGUUGAAGACGACGACGUUGAUAGGUCGGGUGUGUAAGCGCAGCGAUGCGUUGAGCUAACCGAUACUAAUGAACCGUGAGGCUUAACCUUACAACGCCGAAG
rnacentral:rRNA from 1 species